rnacentral:rRNA from 1 species
ACUCAAAUGAAUUGACGGGGGCCCGCACAAGCGGUGGAGCAUGUGGUUUAAUUCGAAGCAACGCGAAGAACCUUACCAAAUCUUGACAUCCAACUGACCGCUCCGUAAAAGGAGCUUUCCUUCGGGACAGUUGAGACAGGUGGUGCAUGGUUGUCGUCAGCUCGUGUCGUGAGAUGUUGGGUUAAGUCCCGCAACGAGCGCAACCCUUAUCUUUAGUAGCCAGCGAGUAAAGUCGGGAACUUUAGAGAGACUGCCGGGGAUAACUCGGAGGAAGGUGGGGAUGACGUCAAAUCAUCAUGCCCCUUAUGAUUUGGGCUACACACGUGCUACAAUGGUUGCAACAAAGGGAAGCGAAGCAGUGAUGCGAAGCAAACCUCAAAAAAGCAAUCACAGUUCGGAUUGUAGUCUGCAACUCGACUACAUGAAGCUGGAAUCGCUAGUAAUCGCGAAUCAGAAUGUCGCGGUGAAUACGUUCCCGGGCCUUGUACACACCGCCCGU